rnacentral:rRNA from 1 species
GAUGAACGCUGGCGGCGUGCCUAAUACAUGCAAGUCGAGCGAAUGGAUUAAGAGCUUGCUCUUAUGAAGUUAGCGGCGGACGGGUGAGUAACACGUGGGUAACCUGCCCAUAAGACUGGGAUAACUCCGGGAAACCGGGGCUAAUACCGGAUAACAUUUUGAACCGCAUGGUUCGAAAUUGAAAGGCGGCUUCGGCUGUCACUUAUGGAUGGACCCGCGUCGCAUUAGCUAGUUGGUGAGGUAACGGCUCACCAAGGCAACGAUGCGUAGCCGACCUGGGAGGGGGAGCGGCCACAGUGGGACUGAGACACGGCCCAGACUCCUACGGGAGGCAGCAGUAGGGAAUCUUCCGCAAUGGACGAAAGUCUGACGGAGCAACGCCGCGUGAGUGAGGAAGGCUUUCGGGUCGUAAAACUCUGUUGUUAGGGAAGAACAAGUGCUAGUUGAAUAAGCUGGCACCUUGACGGUACCUAACCAGAAAGCCACGGCUAACUACGUGCCUGCCGCCGCAGUAA